rnacentral:rRNA from 1 species
AUUGAACGCUGGCGGCAUGCCUUACACAUGCAAGUCGAACGGCAGCACGGGAGCAAUCCUGGUGGCGAGUGGCGAACGGGUGAGUAAUAUAUCGGAACGUGCCCAGUCGUGGGGGAUAACGCAGCGAAAGCUGUGCUAAUACCGCAUACGAUCUAUGGAUGAAAGCGGGGGAUCGCAAGACCUCGCGCGAUUGGAUCGGCCGAUAUCAGAUUAGCUAGUUGGUGAGGUAAAGGCUCACCAAGGCGACGAUCUGCAGCUGGUCUGAGAGGACGACCAGCCACACUGGAACUGAGACACGGUCCAGACUCCUACGGGAGGCAGCAGUGGGGAAUUUUGGACAAUGGGCGAAAGCCUGAUCCAGCAAUGCCGCGUGCAGGAUGAAGGCCUUCGGGUUGUAAACUGCUUUUGUACGGAACGAAACGGUGAGCUCUAAUACAGUUUGCUAAUGACGGUACCGUAAGAAUAAGCACCGGCUAACUACGUGCCAGCCGCCGCCGUAAUAC